rnacentral:tRNA from 1 species
UCCCUGGUAGCUCAGAGGUUAAAGCAUCUGCCUGCACUGCGGGAGACCCAGGUUCGAUCCCUGGGUUGAGAA